rnacentral:rRNA from 1 species
UGCCAGCCGCCGCGGUAACACGAAUGGAGCGAGCGUUGUUCGGAAUCACUGGGCGUAAAGCGUAUGUAGGCGGAAUUGAAAGUCAGAAGUGAAAUCCCGGGGCUUAACCCCGGAACUGCUUUUGAAACUUCAAUUCUAGAGUUCUGGAGAGGCAAGGGGAAUUCCGAGUGUAGAGGUGAAAUUCGCAGAUAUUCGGAGGAACACCAGUGGCGUAGGCGCCUUGCUGGACAGAUACUGACGCUGAGAUACGAAAGCGUGGGGAGCAAACAGGAUUAGAUA